UUCUCCUGCUGAAGCUACUUGGGUGCUUCUUGGCUAAUUUUAACCUGCCAGUUCAAAGAGCACGCGGACCGAAUGCAACACUAUAAACCGUUAGAGAGGAAACACGUCUUGCGGUGGCACCUUGGUAAGAUCUUUGUCCAGAUAAGUAUUAUAAAACAUCUGAUUCAAAGUCCUGUAGAAAUGAGUCAUCGUUCUCGAGCCUCCA